rnacentral:rRNA from 1 species
GAUGAACGCUGGCGGCGUGCCUAAUACAUGCAAGUCGAGCGAACAGACGAGGAGCUUGCUCCUCUGACGUUAGCGGCGGACGGGUGAGUAACACGUGGAUAACCUACCUAUAAGACUGGGAUAACUUCGGGAAACCGGAGCUAAUACCGGAUAAUAUAUUGAACUGCAUGGUUCAAUAGUGAAAGACGGUUUUGCUGUCACUUAUAGAUGGAUCCGCGCCGCAUUAGCUAGUUGGUAAGGUAACGGCUUACCAAGGCAACGAUGCGUAGCCGACCUGAGAGGGUGAUCGGCCACACUGGAACUGAGACACGGUCCAGACUCCUACGGGAGGCAGCAGUAGGGAAUCUUCCGCAAUGGGCGAAAGCCUGACGGAGCAACGCCGCGUGAAUGAUGAAGGUCUUCGGAUCGUAAAACUCUGUUAUUAGGGAAGAACAAAUGUGUAAGUAACUAUGCAUGUCUUGACGGUACCUAAUCAGAAAGCCACGGCUAACUACGUG